UUGGUGCCGGUGACGCAGGAGACUGGAUGCAGCUGGGAACUGCUGAACACAGCCAGCCCCGGGAGCGGUGAGAGGAGACAAGUGACAGCCGCUAGGGAGAACCGGCAGAACUUUACAAGGGGGAGUGCGGUGAGAGUGUGACGCAGCCCAGAGAAGACGCGGUCGGGAGCCCGGAGUCUGCACGGUACCUGCCAGCUAUCCUUCCAGGCAUCGGGAGGAGAGGAGGAGAUCACGCUGAGGGUUAAUUGAGAAUCCAGUUGAUGACCGUUGGAGUGAAUCUGAAACACAAGGAAGAACAGACAGUUGUGAAGGAGUUACAUGUUGGGUGAUUUUGCCAGAGCAGCAGGUUGGGAAGAGGUUGGCAAGUGUAAGUAUUUAUUCACAUGAUUCUCAAAAUUCACUAGUGCAAGUUCAAUGCUAUCAUGCUGUUCAUCUCCAGUGGAUGCUUCAUCUGAACAUAAGCAAGCUUCAUAAUAGCUGCACAAACAAGGAAAACAUCAACAGUAUCUAGGAGUUGAAGAAGCAUCAAGCCAACCCAACCAGCCAUACAAUAGGAGUUGUCAUCACUUUGGCAGCCAUCUAUAAAUCAUGGUUACUGCAGUUCCUGGGCCUGGUCCUGUAUCUGCUGCUGGAGAACCUGAGCCUGAAAAAGCAGCAGCCUCAAAACCUGUCCCUGCUCCUCAAGCCCCUGUAGCCUGCAGCGCAAAGUACUCAGGGUAUUCAGAGGAAGAUUUGAAGAGACAAGUGAAAGAUUGUCCCUUGGAAUAAUAAAAAAAAUAUAUAUCUAAAGAAUCAAAAUAAGAAUACAUUUUAUUGUUUAACGUAGA